rnacentral:lncRNA from 10 species
GGAGCAGUAGCAUCUUAGCUGCUUCCGGCCGCUGGUCGCAGGGCUGCGGGACUACAAUCUUCGCAUGAAAUGGAAGAGAGGGUGGUGCGGAUAGCUUGAGGAAGGUCUCGCAUCUGGGGCUCGAUCUCGUGCAGAGGAGCAUUUCCGAAGACACUGGCCGCUCCCACAAUGGCUCCGAAGAACCCAGCGACCAGCGGGUUCAUGAGUUUGUUGGGGCUGUCCACUCGGUACCAGCUGCGCAGGGAUGUCAGGACAAAGAAACAAGUUGCCUGGUUCCAGCCCUGCUUCAGCACGGGGCCUGUGGGGCCCCGGUAAGUCCCGGUGUUCCCGCACAAUCUCCUAACCCUGUGGAAGAAUCCCCUGUACUUGGAUUUGGAGAGGUCUGGCCAUGGAUUAACUUCACCUUGAUGGUCUCCAUGGGACAUAGGACCACCACGGCCUCGGCCACGCUAGCUCACUGGCCGCACCGCUGCCCGCCUUGCUGUUCACCAGUCCCUGGGCAUCCCGCAUCUGGUUGCUGAGGAACGCCUGACGCCGCCUUGUGGAUGAAGCCGCAGAGCAGGGAGCUGAGGCUGCGGCCCAGGCCCAGGCUGCCUUGGCUGCGACUGUGUGCCUGCAGGCCCCAUGCCCGGUAUCCGGUGGAUGCGAGUGCUAGUCCAGCUGCAGCUGCAUCUUCACGAACUCGGUGGGGAACGGGAUGCAGAUUUUUUUUUUCUUUUCCUUCCUUCCUUCCUUCCUUCCAACUUCCUUCCUUCCUUCCCCUUUCUUUCUUUCUUUUUUUUUUUUUUUUUUUUUUGACAGAAUUUUGCUCUUGUCCCCCAGGCUGGAGUGCAGUGGCGCGAUCUUGGCUCACUACAACCUGGAUUCAAGCGAUUCUCCUGCCUCAGCCUCCCGAGUAGCUGGGAUUACAGGCAUGUGCCACCAUUCCCGGCUAAUUUUUUUGUCUUUUUAGUAGAGACGGUGUUUCCCCAUGUUGGUCAGGCUGGUCUCAAACGCCUGACUCAGAUGAUCCGCCCGCCUCGGCCACCCAAAGUGCUGAGAUUACAGGCUUGAACCACCGCGCCUGGCCCUGUGAUGUAGAUUUUGAUGCUGCCAGCCAGGCUGCCUGCCGGGAUCGCCUGCCCUGGAGCAGGAGCAUCAGCCGUGCGUUCCAGGACGCAGGCAUGGCAUGACCGGCAGGAGGCGGAGUGCCCGGCGUCUCUUGGGAUCGGAGCCUCCUGAAUUCCACGCUGGGACCUUAAUUUGGUUUUAACACAAAUAAAGAUCUCACAUAAAGAUAAAA